rnacentral:rRNA from 1 species
AAGACUUGGCGGUGCCCUACACCACCUAGAGGAGCCUGUUCUAUAAUCGAUGACCCCCGAUUCACCUCACCAUCUCUUGCCAAUUCCGCCUGUAUACCUCCGUCGCCAACCGACCCCUCAAGGGACCUAGUCGGUAUAAGGGCCUACCACCAGUAAGUCAGGUCAAGGUGCAGCGUAUGGGAUGGGAAGCAAUGGGCUACAUUUUCUACCAAUAGACAACACGGAAGAUCACUAUGAAACCUGAUUGGAAGGCGGAUUUAGCAGUAAAAAGAGACUAGAGAGCUCUUUUUAAGUAGGCUCUAGGGCGCGCACACACCGCCCGUCACCCUCUUCGACCCAACUAAAAAAAUUUUAUAAUCUGUUUCAGGAUAAAAGAAGAGGCAAGUCGUAACAUGGUAAGUCCACCGGAAGGUGGACUUGG